rnacentral:rRNA from 1 species
GUUUGAUCCUGGCUCAGAGCGAACGCUGGCGGCGUGCUUAACACAUGCAAGUCGAACGAGGUUUGUAGCAAUACAAAUACUCGUGGCGAACGGGUGCGUAACACGUGGAUAACCUUCCUUCAGGUGGGGAAUAACCCAGUGAAAAUUGGGCUAAUACCGCAUAACAUGACGGGGGCACAUGCUCUUGUCUUCAAAGGCGCAAGUCGCCAGAAGAGGGAUCCGCGGCCGAUUAGCUUGUUGGCGAGGUAAUGGCUCACCAAGGCAUUGAUCGGUAGCCGGACUGAGAGGUUGGCCGGCCACACUGGAACUGAGACACGGUCCAGACUCCUACGGGAGGCAGCAGUGGGGAAUCUUGCACAAUGGACGAAAGUCUGAUGCAGCAACGCCGCGUGGGGGAUGAAGCUUUUCGGAGUGUAAACCCCUUUCGACCCGGACGAAUGCCCGCAAGGGCUUGACGGUACGGGUAUAAGAAGCCCCGGCUAACUACGUGCCAGCAGCCGCGGUAAUACGUAGGGGGCCAGCGUUGCUCGGAAUUACUGGGCGUAAAGGGUCCGUAGGCGGUGUGGCAAGUCGGGAGUGAAAUCUCUAGGCUUAACCUAGAGGCUGCUUUCGAAACUGCCGUGCUAGAGUGUGAGAGAGGCGAGUGGAAUUACGGGUGUAGCGGUGAAAUGCGUAGAUAUCCGUAGGAACAUCCGAGGCGAAAGCGGCUCGCUGGAUCACAACUGACGCUGAGGGACGAAAGCUAGGGGAGCAAACAGGAUUAGAUACCCUGGUAGUCCUAGCCCUAAACCAUCAGGACUUGGGGUUUGCCCUGUACGGGGCAAGUCCCGUAGCUAACGCGUUAAGUCCUGCGCCUGGGGAGUACGGUCGCAAGACUGAAACUCAAGGAAUUGACGGGGGCCCGCACAAGCGGUGGAACAUGUGGUUCAAUUCGACGCAACGCGAAGACCUUACCUGGGCUUGAACCGCACAGGACCAGCUUUGGAACAGAGCUUCCCGCAGGACUGUGUAGAGGUGCUGCAUGCUGUCGUCAGCUCGUGCCGUGAGGUGUUGGGUUAAGUCCCGCACGAGCGCAACCCUUUACCCCUAGUG